CAAAGUUCCCCACUGCAGUUUAUGAACAGACGUCAUCUGCACAAUAUUUUAGAUAUUGAUAGCAGUGUAUAGGGCAUUUUGUGUGACACAUCACACGACAACCACGGCUAGCUGAAGACAGUGGGCAGAGGAUUAAUAAUUAAUAAAAAUGGCGUCUCCAGAUGAGAUAGAUGAUGACAAGAUUCUGAAGGAAGUUGCCAAAAUGUCAAGGCAAAAUUUGGAACUAGAGGACCUCGGAGAAGCACUAGGGAUUACCGUUGCAGAUAUAGGAAGUGCUAUGGUGAAAAACCAGAAUGGUGCAACGUAUGAAGGGUCCCUUGCAUUGCUGAGAAAAUGGUACCGAGGACAAUGGGCUUCAGAAUGGAAGAAGAAGUUGAUAAACGCCCUGACCCAAAAAGAGCGGCAUGACAUAGUAAAAAAGUGUUUCUCCAAUAUAGAUAGAGUUGACGAACCUAUGAGGCCAGCCCAGCCGCAAUCAAGCAGGCCAGUUACGGGAAACCCAAGUG